AUGAUUAGCGGCGGACGGGUGAGUAACACGUGGGUAACCUGCCUGUAAGACUGGGAUAACUCCGGGAAACCGGGGCUAAUACCGGAUAACUUUUUUCUUCGCAUGAGGGGGAAUUGAAAGAUGGCUUCGGCUAUCACUUACAGAUGGACCCGCGGCGCAUUAGCUAGUUGGUGAGGUAACGGCUCACCAAGGCGACGAUGCGUAGCCGACUUGAGAGGGUGAUCGGCCACACUGGGACUGAGACACGGCCCAGACUCCUACGGGAGGCAGCAGUAGGGAAUCUUCCGCAAUGGACGAAAGUCUGACGGAGCAACGCCGCGUGAGUGAUGAAGGUUUUCGGAUCGUAAAACUCUGUUGUUAGGGAAGAACAAGUAUCGUUCGAAUAGGGCGGUACCUUGACGGUACCUAACCAGAAAGCCACGGCUAACUACGUGCCAGCAGCCGCGGUAAUACGUAGGUGGCAAGCGUUGUCCGGAAUUAUUGGGCGUAAAGCGCGCGCAGGCGGUUUCUUAAGUCUGAUGUGAAAUCUUGCGGCUCAACCGCAAGCGGCCAUUGGAAACUGGGAGACUUGAGUGCAGAAGAGGAGAGUGGAAUUCCACGUG
rnacentral:rRNA from 1 species